UAAGCGGAGGAAAAGAAACUAACCAGGAUUCCCUCAGUAGCUGCGAGCGAACAGGGAAGAGCCCAGCACCGAAUCCCGCGGCCGAUACCGGGCGCCGGGAAAUGUGGUGUUAGGGAGGAUCCGUCUAUCCCGAGGUCGUGCAGCGCGUCCAAGUCCUUCUUGAACGGGGCCACAGCCCAUAGAGGGUGCCAGGCCCGUAGCGACCGUCGCCGAUCGCGGGAGGAUCUCUCCUUAGAGUCGGGUUGCUUGAGAGUGCAGCCCUAAGUGGGUGGUAAACUCCAUCUAAGGCUAAAUAUGACCACGAGACCGAUAGCGAACAAGUACCGUGAGGGAAAGUUGAAAAGCACUUUGAAGAGAGAGUUCAAAAGUACGUGAAACCGUUCAGGGGUAAACCUGAGAAACCCGAAAGGUCGAAAGGGGAAAUUCAUUCGCGUUUCUCGCGUCGUCCGCGCCUUCCGUUCUUCGAACCGGCGCAGAACGCGUGCACUUUUCCCCUAGUAGGACGUCGCGAUCCGUUGGGUGUCGGUCCUCGCGGUGGAGCCCGCGCGAACGCUUUGCUCGGACCCGCGAGAACCCGACCGACUCGCUCGACGGUAAACAGAAGGCGCUGGGUCGCUAUACAGUUAGCGUUCGGCCCGUGGCAAGCGCGUUUGUGACGGUGAUCGGACCUGGUGCCGGUCCUGUCCCCGAACGACUGUUGGCUGCUCUCGAACAGACCCCGUCGAAACGCCGAUCUGCGACGCUAUAGCUUUGGGUACUUUCAGGACCCGUCUUGAA
rnacentral:rRNA from 1 species